GGGCAACCGAACUUCACAGAGCUCGACAAUGGCCGAUUGCGGUGUGCGGAGACUGGCCACGAAAUGCUCGCAAAGGACAGGGACUCCUACUCUCGGACCAAGCACUGUCGUCAAGGCCUCAUCGAAUUCGCUUUGUGCCAUCAAAAAGUUCCUCUUAACAUGUUCGUGCAGGAUCCUCUCUUCGGUUCGAAGUUAAUAUGCA
rnacentral:misc_RNA from 1 species